GACAUGCAGAAAUUCAUUGAAAAUAUGGCCUGGCUAACGCCAAACCGCAUGUCAUUGAGAUGGGGUCUGUGAACUACAUGUACAUUUUCUCGUAUUUGAAACAUGGUUUACGAAUGCCCAAAGCCGU